rnacentral:misc_RNA from 1 species
UCCUCUCCAAUGUAGGUGUUGGUGGA